GGUUGAUAAAAAUAUUAUGCUAUCAAAGCAUUGAUAGAUGGAUAAGAUGAGAGGAAAGAGAGAACAUAAUUAUAAAGAAAUGAAGAUGAAUUAGGCUUGUGUAAGAAGGGGUUUAUCCACACGACAUUUUGAAGCUUUGGGAAGCUCCACAUGGCCAUUGAAGCACAUGCGCGUGCCGGCGCGCCCUCCUCACCACUCUUUGCUUCAGCUAUCUCAAGCGCCACACACUCGCCACACAAACAUAUAUGUUCUUCUUCAAAUUACUUUAUAUUAUAUAAUACAUAUAUACUUCUAUUUUAUUCUUUCAUUACUAUUAUCUCUUCCCUCUCUCCUAUCAUCAUCUCAUCUCACCUCUCAUUCUCUUUUAUAAUAAGCUUUUU
rnacentral:lncRNA from 1 species